rnacentral:pre_miRNA from 1 species
AGGUGAGGGCUGGUUCCCGCGCUGGUGUGUGGCUCCGUGGCCCCGAGCUGCCCGGGAGCCGCUCACCAGCGCUGGUGUCUCUGUCCCCAGGU